rnacentral:rRNA from 1 species
AUUGAACGCUGGCGGCAUGCCUUACACAUGCAAGUCGAACGGCAGCACGGGGCAACCUGGUGGCGAGUGGCGAACGGGUGAGUAGUGCAUCGGAACGUACCUUUCAGUGGGGGAUAACGUAGCGAAAGUUACGCUAAUACCGCAUAUUCUGUGAGCAGGAAAGCAGGGGAUCGCAAGACCUUGCGCUGAUUGAGCGGCCGAUGUCAGAUUAGCUAGUUGGUGAGGUAAAGGCUCACCAAGGCGACGAUCUGUAGCGGGUCUGAGAGGAUGAUCCGCCACACUGGAACGGAGAGACGUUCCAGACUCCUACGCGAGGUAGAGCUGGGGAAUAUUGUGGAAUGGGGGCAACCCUGAUCCCGCCAUGCGGCGUGAGUGAAGAAGGCCUUCGGGUUGUAAAGCUCUUUCGGCCGGGAAAAAAUCGCAUGGGUUAAUACCCUGUGUGGAUGAUGGUACCGGAAUAAGAAGCACCGGCUAACUACGUGCCAGCCGCCGCGGUAACAC